UACUCCGGACGUGAACUUUAACCCAGCGCUCUUUGGGUUUUCUGUUCGAGAGGCUUUCAUGAAUGGUGCUGUGUGCUUGCCUGAAGCCUGAAUUGGAAAGAGCGGAGUAACUCAACAUUGUCCAACCAUCUUAAGUAAUAUGGCUAGUAUGCUGCAAAAGGAGGCCCGGCUUUGUAAUUACAUAAAGUACCCGGACCAGCCAGGAACGUCUGCAGUUAACAGUAGGGUUUUGUUUCCCUGGCUGCUGUAUCGGCAUCAUAGAACAAGACAGAGGUGUAUCAGGUGACCUGGCAGGAGCCACAGAGGUGUAUCAGGUGACCUGGCAGGAGCCAAGGGGGGCAGGCGGAGGACUCUGCAGAAUGCCAGCCAAUGGGGUGAAGGCUGAUGGCUUAAUGAGAUGGUGUGUGAGAUGGACUGCCCUGGCAUCCAUACACCUGGCAUCAACAUAGGCCUGGAGGAUAUUGCUGUCCAGCAGAGAGCUUGGAAAGGUUGGUGUCCUUAGGGACGGACAUGUGACAUGAGAACAGGGAUCCCUGUCCGGAAGGGUUGGGAGGAGGACCUGCUGACACGAGCUGAUUGGCCGAGAGAUGGGAAUUCUGAGGGUUUAGAGAAGCCAAUCUUCACAGAGGCGUGUUAUCCUUCUUCAUGAAGUGCUGAGAAAUGUUCAUCUUUUCUCUACUAGGAAUACUGUCCACUUCUGCUUGUGUAAUGUUAGAGUGCAGGCUGCAUUUAUUAACUCGUAGUAACACACUUGUGCCAUUCAAAGUUUUGACAGACACUUAUAGGGUGCCGUAAAUCUUGUAGGAUAUUGUUUACAAUCUUUAAAACCUUAAAACAACGUAUAACCGUCGUAUAAACAUUAACGUGAGUUUGUGUUA